AACCCGAUGAACCUGAAUAUCCGUUAUGGAAAAUUCAUCAUUAAUAUUAUUAUAUUUAAAAAUAUAAUAAAAAUAGUGUGCAAUUUUUCCAUAUAAGGACAUUGUAAUCUGUUAAUGUUUUAAAUAUUUAUCAAAAAGUCUAUAACAUAAGUUUAUUCAAAUUAGUUAUUUUCGAAUUUCUAACAUAGAAUAAUUGUAUUAGAUUCGAUAAAUCAUUGACAGAUUUUACUAUAUAUAAUGCUUAAAUUCAUUUUUGAAUUUUAUAAUUAUAGUAAAAAUUUAUUUUUAUUUAUAAUUAUAUGCAUUUAUAUGAUUAACAAUGCGAUAGAUUCAGGAUACCUUCGGGACCCGUCUUGAAACACGGACCAAGGAGUCUAACAUAUGUGCAAGUCAUUGGGUAUUUUUAAUAAAACCCAAUGGCAUAAUUAACUUAACUGUUUUUUAAUGGGAUUAGUUUAUAUUUUAUUAUGAAAUAAAAAUUCAAUCCCGGGGCGUUCUAUACAGUUAUGCAUAAUGAUAUUUAUAUUAUUUAUGCCUCUAACUAGAGCGUACCUUGAGCAUAUAUGCUGUGACCCGAAAGG
rnacentral:rRNA from 1 species